CCCCGCGCCCCCCGCCGCCCCGGUCCCGGCGGGCAUGAUGUGCCUGGAAUGCGCCUCGGCGGCGGCGGGCGGCGCGGAGGAGGAGGAGGCGGACGCCGAGCGGAGGCGCCGGCGCCGGGGGACCCAGCCAGGGGCUGGAGGUAGCGCUUGCUGCGGGUCGCGGGGUGCCGGGGGCGCCGGAGUCUUGCCCGCCGACGAAGAGGUGCAGACGUUGUCUGGCAGCGUGAGGCGGGUCCCGUCCGGACUCCCCAGCAUCCCCGGCACCCCGGGCUGCGCAGCCGCUGCCAAGGGCCCCAGCGCGCAGCACCCCAAACCCGCCAGCCUGGGCCGAGGGCGGGGGGCAGCCGCUGCCAUCCUGAGCUUGGGCAACGUGCUCAACUACCUGGAUAGGUACACCGUGGCAGGCGUUCUUCUGGAUAUCCAGCAGCACUUUGGGGUCAAGGACCGGGGCGCCGGCUUGCUGCAGUCAGUGUUCAUCUGCAGCUUCAUGGUGGCUGCCCCCAUCUUUGGCUACCUGGGUGAUCGCUUCAAUAGGAAGGUGAUCCUUAGCUGCGGCAUCUUCUUCUGGUCGGCCGUCACCUUCUCUAGCUCUUUCAUCCCUCAACAGUACUUCUGGUUGCUGGUCCUGUCCCGAGGGCUAGUAGGUAUUGGUGAAGCCAGCUACUCCACCAUAGCACCCACCAUCAUCGGCGACUUGUUUACCAAGAACACGCGCACACUUAUGCUGUCAGUCUUCUAUUUUGCCAUCCCACUGGGCAGCGGCCUGGGCUACAUCACGGGUUCCAGCGUAAAGCAGGCAGCUGGAGACUGGCAUUGGGCCCUGCGGGUGUCCCCUGUCCUGGGCAUGAUCACAGGGACGCUCAUUCUCAUCCUGGUCCCAGCCACUAAGAGAGGCCAUGCUGAUCAACUCGGAGGGCAGCUCAAAGCACGGACCUCGUGGCUCCGAGACAUGAAGGCCCUGAUCCGCAACCGCAGUUACGUCUUCUCCUCCCUGGCCACAUCCGCUGUGUCCUUCGCCACAGGGGCCCUGGGCAUGUGGAUUCCCCUCUAUCUGCACCGCGCUCAAGUUGUACAAAAGACAGCAGAGACUUGCAACAGCCCGCCCUGUGGAGCCAAAGACAGCCUCAUCUUUGGGGCCAUCACCUGCUUUACCGGCUUUCUGGGGGUAGUCACAGGCGCGGGAGCCACUCGCUGGUGCCGCCUGCGGACUCAGCGCGCUGACCCACUAGUGUGUGCCGUGGGCAUGCUGGGAUCUGCCAUCUUCAUCUGCCUCAUCUUUGUGGCUGCCAAAACCAGCAUUGUGGGCGCUUAUAUCUGCAUCUUUGUUGGGGAGACACUACUGUUUUCCAACUGGGCCAUCACUGCGGACAUCCUCAUGUAUGUUGUCAUCCCCACUCGACGAGCCACUGCUGUGGCCUUGCAGAGCUUCACCUCCCAUCUGCUGGGGGACGCUGGAAGCCCCUACCUCAUUGGCUUUAUCUCAGACCUAAUCCGCCAGAGUACCAAGGACUCCCCGCUCUGGGAGUUUCUGAGCCUGGGCUAUGCCCUCAUGCUGUGCCCUUUUGUUGUGGUCCUGGGUGGCAUGUUCUUCCUUGCCACUGCUCUCUUCUUCCUCAGCGAUCGUGCCAAGGCUGAGCAGCAGUCUCUGCCCAGCGCCUCCGGUCUACCGGCCCCAGUGAUGCGAUGUGCCAGAGCCGUGCCUGGGCCCAGUCCCCGCUGAUGUGCCACCCUGACCCCCGCCCGUCUCUCCCUCAGGGUGAACCAGCUGGUGAUGCCGCCUGCAUCCGUGAAAGUCUGAAGUGGUGCCGCUGGGACAGCAAUGAACUGCAGUUUAGAUUAGGAGAGAUCCUCCAGCAUCCUGGGCCUGCAGGGCUGCCCCAAAGUUUCCUGUGUGACUUGCAGCU